rnacentral:sRNA from 1 species
GUCAUCUUAGUAGGUGGCCAAGACAGGUGCAAGCUUUCCCCACACCAUCCUGUCCAUGUGACUCAACCCUGACCUUGAGGGACCACCUCUACAGGC